GACGAACGCUGGCGGCGUGCUUAACACAUGCAAGUCGAACGGAAAGGCCCUGCUUUUGUGGGGUGCUCGAGUGGCGAACGGGUGAGUAACACGUGAGUAACCUGCCCUUGACUUUGGGAUAACUUCAGGAAACUGGGGCUAAUACCGUAUAGGAGCUCCUGCUGCAUGGUGGGGGUUGGAAAGUUUCGGCGGUUGGGGAUGGACUCGCGGCUUAUCAGCUUGUUGGUGGGGUAGUGGCUUACCAAGGCUUUGACGGGUAGCCGGCCUGAGAGGGUGACCGGCCACAUGGGGACUGAGAUACGGCCCAGACUCGUACGGGAGGCAGCAGUGGGGAAUAUGGCACAAUGGGCGGAAGCCGGAUGCAGCAACGCCGCGUGCGGGAUGACGGCCUUCGGGUUGUAAACCGCUUUCGCCUGUGACGAAGCGGGAGUGACGGUAAUGGGUAAAGAAGCACCGGCUAACUACGUG
rnacentral:rRNA from 1 species